rnacentral:rRNA from 1 species
CGCACGGGUGAGUAACACGUAUCCAACCUGCCGUCUACUCUUGGACAGCCUUCUGAAAGGAAGAUUAAUACAAGAUGGCAUCAUGAGUCCGCAUGUUCACAUGAUUAAAGGUAUUCCGGUAGACGAUGGGGAUGCGUUCCAUUAGAUAGUAGGCGGGUAACGGCCCACCUAGUCUUCGAUGGAUAGGGGUUCUGAGAGGAAGGUCCCCCACAUUGGAACUGAGACACGGUCCAAACUCCUACGGAAGGCAGCAG